rnacentral:rRNA from 1 species
GACGGACGCUGGCGGCGUGCUUAACACAUGCAAGUCGAACGAUGAUGCCCAGCUUGCUGGGUGGAUUAGUGGCGAACGGGUGAGUAACACGUGAGUAACCUGCCCCUGACUCUGGGAUAAGCGUUGGAAACGACGUCUAAUACUGGAUAUGACUGCCGGCCGCAUGGUCUGGUGGUGGAAAGAUUUUUUGGUUGGGGAUGGACUCGCGGCCUAUCAGCUUGUUGGUGAGGUAAUGGCUCACCAAGGCGACGACGGGUAGCCGGCCUGAGAGGGGGACCGGCCACACUGGGACUGAGACACGGCCCAGACUCCUACGGGAGGCAGCAGUGGGGAAUAUUGCACAAUGGGCGAAAGCCUGAUGCAGCAACGCCGCGUGAGGGAUGACGGCCUUCGGGUUGUAAACCUCUUUUAGUAGGGAAGAAGCGAAAGUGACGGUACCUGCAGAAAAAGCACCGGCUAACUACGUGCCAGCAGCCGCCGUAACAC